AACGAACGCUGGCGGCAUGCCUAACACAUGCAAGUCGAACGAGACCUUCGGGUCUAGUGGCGCACGGGUGCGUAACGCGUGGGAACCUUCCCUUAUGUUCGGAAUAACUCCCCGAAAGGGGUUCUAAUACCGGAUAAUGUCUUCGGACCAAAGAUUUAUCGCCUUUGGAUGGGCCCGCGUUGGAUUAGCUAGUUGGUAGGGUAAAAGCCUACCAAGGCGAGGAUCCAUAGCUGGUCUGAGAGGAUGAUCAGCCACACUGGGACUGAGACACGGCGCAGAAUCCUACGGGAGGGAGCAGUGGGGAAUAUUGGAAAAGGGGGGAAAGCAUGAAAAAGCAAGGACGCGGGAGAGAUGAAGGGCUUAGGGUAGUAAAGCUCUUUUAACCGGGAUGAUAAUGACAGUACCGGGAGAAUAAGCACCGGCUAACUACGUG
rnacentral:rRNA from 1 species